UACGUAGGACCCGAGCGUUGUCCGGAUUUAUUGGGCGUAAAGCGAGCGCAGGUGGUUUAUUAAGUCUGGUGUAAAAGGCAGUGGCUCAACCAUUGUAUGCAUUGGAAACUGGUAGACUUGAGUGCAGGAGAGGAGAGUGGAAUUCCAUGUGUAGCGGUGAAAUGCGUAGAUAUAUGGAGGAACACCGGUGGCGAAAGCGGCUCUCUGGCCUGUAACUGGCACUGAGGCUCGAAAGCGUGGGGAGCAAACAGG
rnacentral:rRNA from 1 species